rnacentral:misc_RNA from 1 species
GAUGAAGAACGUAGCGAAAUGCGAUAAGUAGUGUGAAUUGCAGAACUCAGUGAAUCAUCGAAUCUUUGAACGCACAUUGCGCCUUCUAGUAUUCUGGGAGGCAUGCCUGUUUGAGCGUCAUUAAACCUCUCUCAAGUAUGAUUACUUGGAUGUGAAGGAAGAGUACCUUAAACUUAAGGAGUGUUCUCCUUUGAAAUUGAUUAGCAGAUGGUAAUGUUAUUAAAUCCCUGAUGUUGUAAGAAAUAACAGUGGUUUUGUAGACUAUUAUCUAGCUUUAAAUUAUAAUUUUUAUUAUGGUUGACCUCAAAUCAGGUAAGGAUACCCGCUGAACUUAAGCAUAUCAAUAAGCGGAGGA